UCUGGGAAACACUCAAGGAGGCGAUCGUGGCCUACACGGGCCUAUCUCCGGCGACCUUCUUCACACUCCUGGCUCUUCUCGUCGCCGCUUACCAUAUCCUCUCCGGGCUCUUUGGGCCGUCGGAGACCCACCACCAGCCCAGAAACCUGGAGGAGAUGCAGCCUCUGCUGCCGCCGGUCCAGGUCGGCGAGGUCACCGAGGAGGAGCUCAAGCAGUACGACGGAACCGAUCCCAAGAAGCCUCUGCUUAUGGCCAUCAAGGGUCAGAUCUAUGACGUGUCUCAGAGCAGGUAGCUAAUUGAGAUUUUCAAUUUAGGGUUUAGGGUUUUAGUAACUGGGGUUUUUGAUUGUUGUGCUUGUUUGAUUUGUGAAGUAGUCAACUGGGUUUCUGUUUUGGUGUUGUUGUGUUAUGUGGUGGUUUUGAAGUUGGGGACUUUAUCUCUGUGAUUGAUGAAUUGAUAGAUGAUAAAGAGUUAGAGCUGGAAAUUGUUUCAGUUUGGGGAUUGGAUUGCGAUUUUUCGAUGUGGGUUUAGUGAUCAUUGAUGACUAUGUAUGUGGUUUAACUAGUUGAUGUUGCAUGUUGAGUCUGAUAGUUGUGAUUGGGAAGGUGGUUGUUUUUCAUUCAUGCAAUCGAUAAGAAAGUGUUUCUAUCUAGCUCGUAUGUGUUUGAGGUUUUGAAGUUGGUGAAGUUUGUGAAGUGUUUGGUCUUUGUUCUUAUCCAGCUUUUGCUUAUAUAUGUUAAGAAGCCCAUGUUUUCUGUUCAAGUUGGUUUCUGUAGAGUUAUAUUUGUUGUUUUGACCUUAUUCAAAUCUAAGGUAGUGUGUAUUGGGUCACUCUGUCACAGUAUCACUGGUUGCUUUACAAGUGAUACUGAAGUGUGAAAUGAUUUUAGGAUGUUGAUUGGUGAUCUCGGAUCGAACUGUGUUUUGAAUUGUCAAAUGACAUUGGGAUUUAUCAGCUUAUCUGAGUUUGUUUUUUGAAGUGUGAUUGGGAUUUAUCAGCUUAUCUGAGUUUGUUUUUUGAAGUGUGAUUGAGAUUUAGCAGCUUAAGAUGCAUUCUAUAAUUAACUUUCUAGACAUCUUCAGUGUGGUUCAGCAACAUCAGAUGAGUUGAUAUUUUUUUUUUCUUGUUUAACUAUCUGUAUCUUAUAAGGGGCGGUCUAUGGCCAAUAAGUAGUUUAAUGGCUACUUGGACUAGUCAUAUGCUGUCUUAAAUAGAUUUCCUUUUCACGUCACUCUUAAACAAGGUUCUAAUCUGUUACUUCUGGACCACUUUUGCAGGAUGUUUUAUGGACCUGGAGGUCCUUAUGCUCUAUUUGCAGGAAAAGAUGCUAGCAGGGCUCUUGCAAAAAUGUCUUUUGAAGACAAAGAUCUCACUGGUGAUACCACUGGUCUUGGUCCUUUUGAGCUUGAGGCCUUGCAAGAUUGGGAAUAUAAGUUCAUG
rnacentral:lncRNA from 1 species